CUUCCGAGUAACAAAAAAAAAACACAACACAAAUGCAGCAUUGACAGGAACAAUGGCUGGAACAUAUCUAGUCUUCAACAGAACAUCACCAGCAGUAUGAGUAGCAGAUCUACAAGGAAGUCCAAGUUGAAACAAUGACGUCAUCUACACACGAGAAAUCAAGAAAAUUGUAGCGUUUGUUUGUCAGCUGUGCGCGCCCCCCCCCCCCCACUCCCGCGAGAGAUGGCGCAUUCCUUAAUUGAAAUGUGGCCCAUGUUGGUAACAACGAUCACAAUGCAAUAUAUAAUUAUAAUCUUAAUGAUGCCCCUGAUCAAUUCAGAAUUCUACGACUAUUACUACCGGCUGUAUUAUUUCAGAGUCAAGAGGUUGCUGACCGCGCCCCUUGAAACCAUUUACAGGUCUUGUUUGUUUGCCCGCUUCUUGAUUCUCAGGAUGGUGGACCUGAUGUCUACACGGAAGAUGCUUUUGAGUUUACUUUGCUAUUUGGUCUUCUACGUCCUGCUGAUUGUUCUUCUGGUCGGACUUAUUGCCCCUUUUAAAUACCUGCCGACAUCUCUAUAAACACUGGCGUUUGACUAGACCAAUGGUGCUUCAGAAAUUACGUAUUGGCCUUGAUAUAGAGCAAGAAUUUGUUGAACCAAAGAUUAUCUACUCGCCUUUGAUUGGACCAAAAAGACCAAUCGACAUUAAAUUUACCAAGGUGAACUGAUGGAAAUAAUGCAAAGUAACAAAGACUCAAUGUCUUCAAAGAUUUUCGAAAGUUAGACAAUUGUCUCUAUAAUACAUAACGAUACUACCGUACUAUUGCCUCAGUUAUUGCCCUUGUGUUCAGCCAUGAUUGAUGUGAUAAGAUGAGAACGAAAUAAUAUAUAUAUUUUUUUCUGUUAGUUGUGAAAUGUUUGUAAUAAUAAACUUUAGAAAAUUCUUUAUUAAUUUUACAUAAACUAUGCCAAAAAGAUAUUUAAAAACUAUAUGUAAUGCCAAAUCUAAUUUUUCUUUUAAUUUAUAAGAAUGAUACAAAUUUAAAAUACUUAGUAUAUAACAACCCUA